ensembl:lncRNA
CUGGUAACGGGAGCUAGAGGGUUGAUGAGAAGAGAAGAAGAUUGAAGAUGGACAAGAGCGGACCGCUAGUCUGAGCUCCUUAUCUUUAACUUUACGGUGGUAUUAUCUAUGUCUAGCCUAUAGGACGAGACUUAAACGAAUAUCAGUUGUCGGGCAGAUAAUUAGGACAUCAGUGACUGAGUUCUUGUACAGUUUAAUGAGUUUAAAGAAUGUGAGUAGCCUACCUCGUGACGCCUAGCCUGGGCACCAUUUUAGCUCGUAGUGCUCGAGCCAGAUGCAGUCACCAUGGUCCUCGGUGCACGGGACGUAUCCGACUUUGCUGAGUUGCUGAGACAGAGGAGGAUCUCUUUGCCGCUCGUUAAGACAAAGACAGAUGGAGAGAACGCAGUGACGCUAGCUCAAACAGGUCGACACGAGAAACGGGGAUCCACGCACGCUUCCACACACCUGACUCCCCACUCUCUUCCCUUCCAACGCCUCAAGAAUGGCGCUUAGAGCUCAUCGGCACGUGAUGGUGACCUUGUCCCUGCCGACGACCCUACAAUGACCUCUAGCGACCUGGCUCGGGAUGAUGAGGUGCUGGCUAUGGAGCCCCUGCUAAAGCCACGGCCAAAGCUCCUGAGCCAACGUUUUCAGACAGAUCACUGUAAGAGACAGUUCACUACACACUGUACAGUAAUGGCUCUCUUUCUGAAAGACAAAGGUUUAAAAAACGUGUUGAUUGCAGCAAAAGAAACACCUCACAGAGCACCAGAGCUUCAGACUCUCCGAUACCUGACCGUCAUGUUCAUCGAGCUCACACAGCUGGACAACAUCUCACACCUGGUGAGGAGGAGGAGGAGGAUGAGGGCUGGACACUGGAAUGCCUUGAAUGUACCUGUGUGUGAGUGAGGGAAUGUCUGUUAUUUGUGCAAUGUAUGUACAUGUGAAAUGAGGGAUGGUGCUGAAGUGGACGCCGUGUGAACUUCACCAGCAAUGGCUCCAAUCUGACAUUAACGCAGUCCUAUCUAAAAUGGCAGUUGGAGAUAUACCUGAGAGAAAGAUGGAGGUGGAAGACAUGAAGGAAGAGACACUCUGGAAAGAUGGAGGGGGAGGACAGGGCUUCUAUUAAGGAGAAGGAGACCGCUGGAAAUAUGGGGCAGGAGGACAGCGCCUCUGUCCAGGAGGCCUGUAGAAAGAUGGACAACGAGGACAGGGCCUCUGAGCUCAAAGACUAUUUCACUGCUCUUGAGGAGAACCGCAGAAACAUGCAGAAUCUCCUGCAAGAGCAGAAAGAAGAGUAUGAGAUGGAGUUGAGGGCUCUGGAGAGGGAGAGUGUGCAGGAGAGAGAGAUGCGGAAGAGAAAUGAGGCCCUGAAGAGGGAGAGAGAGAUGCGGAAUAGAAAGGAGGCUCUGGAGAGGGAGAGAGAUGCGGGAAAGAGAGGAAGCCCUGCUGUCCACUUUUAUUUCCGUUGUUGUCUGCAAGGACAAGCUCAUGAAAGACCUGAGGAUCCAGAUGGACAGACCGAGUCCAUCUAAGGUGUGCGAGGCACAAUGGGGCCAUUUUCAAACACAUGGGGCCACUGGCACUGCAGUGGUCACACUCCAG